CCCGCCGCGGCCCGCGCGCGCUCGGGUGGGGGCCAUCCACUGGCGGUCCGUGCAGACCGUCGCG
rnacentral:ribozyme from 1 species